GAUGAACGCUGGCGGCGUACCUAAUACAUGCAAGUCGAGCGAACGGACGAGAAGCUUGCUUCUCUGAUGUUAGCGGCGGACGGGUGAGUAACACGUGGAUAACCUACCUAUAAGACUGGGAUAACUUCGGGAAACCGUAGCUAAUACCGGAUGAUAUUUUGAACCGCAUGGUUCAAAAGUGAAAGACGGUCUUUCUGUCACUUAUAGAUGGAUCCGCGCUGCAUUAGCUAGUUGGUAAGGUAACGGCUUACCAAGGCAACGAUGCAUAGCCGACCUGAGAGGGUGAUCGGCCACACUGGAACUGAGACACGGUCCAGACUCCUACGGGAGGCAGCAGUAGGGAAUCUUCCGCAAUGGGCGAAAGCCUGACGGAGCAACGCCGCGUGAGUGAUGAAGGUCUUCGGAUCGUAAAACUCUGUUAUUAGGGAAGAAAAUAUGUGUAAGUAACUGUGCACAUCUUGACGGUACCUAAUCAGAAAGCAACGGCUAACUACGUG
rnacentral:rRNA from 1 species